rnacentral:rRNA from 1 species
UACAGAGGGGGCAAGCGUUGUUCGGAAUUACUGGGCGUAAAGGGCGCGUAGGCGGCCCGCUAAGUCGAACGUGAAAUCCCCGAGCUCAACUCGGGAACUGCGUCCGAUACUGGUGGGCUUGAAUCCGGGAGAGGGAUGCGGAAUUCCAGGUGUAGCGGUGAAACGCGUAGAUAUCUGGAGGAACACCGGUGGCGAAGGCGGCAUCCUGGACCGGCAUUGACGCUGAGGCGCGAAAGCUAGGGGAGCAAACGGG